ACUGAAGGUAGACCGAGGUAGACUGAAGGUAGACCGAAGGUAGACUGAAGGUAGACCAAAGGUAGACCAAAGGUAGACCAAAGGUAGACCGAAGGUAGACUGAGGACUGAGGUAGACCAAAGGUAUGAAGGUAGACUGAAGGUAGACCGAAGGUAGACGGAGGACUGAGGUAGACUGAAGGUAGACUGAAGGUAGACUGAAGGUAGACCGAAGGUAGACCGAGGGUAGACUGAGGGUAGACCAAAGGUAGACUGAAGGUAGACGGAGGACUGAAGGUAGACCAAGGUAGACCGAGGUAGACUGAAGGUAGACCGAAGGUAGACUGAAGGUAGACCGAAGGUAGACUGAAGGUAGACCAAGGUAGACCGAAGGUAGACUGAGGGUAGACCAAAGGUAGACUGAAGGUAGACCAAAGAUAGACCGAAGGUAGACUGAAGGUAGACCAAGGACUGAGGUAGACUGAAGGUAGACUGAAGGUAGACUGAAGGUAGACCAAGGUAGACCGAAGGUAGACUGAGGGUAGACCAAAGGUAGACUGAAGGUAGACCAAAGAUAGACCGAAGGUAGACUGAAGGUAGACCAAGGACUGAGGUAGACUGAAGGUAGACCAAGGUAGACUGAAGGUAGACCAAGGUAGACCGAAGGUAGACCGAAGGUAGACCGAAGGUAGCCUGAAGGUAGACUGAAGGUAGACUGAAGGUAGACUGAAGGUAGACCAAAGACUGAAGGUAGUCCAAGGACGGAGGUAGACCGAGGACUGAAGUAGACUGAAGGUAGACUGAGAACUGAAGGUAGACUGAAGGUAGACCGAAGACCGAAGGUAUUCCAAGGACUGAGGUAGACCGAGGACUGAAGGUAGACCAAGGACCAAAGGUAGAUUGACGGUAGACCGAAGGUAGACUAAGGUAGACUGAAGGUAGACGGAGGACUGAGGUAGAUCGAAGGUAGUUUGGGUAUUGUUCUAGGUACUUUCCUGUUCCAAAUAAUUAAGUUUGAUAUAAACACUGUCAAUCAAAUUAUAUUAUG